rnacentral:rRNA from 1 species
AUUCCAGCUCCAAUAGCGUAUAUUAAAGUUGUUGCAGUUAAAAAGCUCGUAGUUGGAUUUCUGGCAGGAGUGACUGACCACAAACUCUGUUUGUGAGUUGUGUCAUUCUGGCCAUCCUUGGUAAGAUCCUUUUUGGCAUUAAGUUGUCGGGAAGGGGAUGACCAUCGUUUACUGUGAAAAAAUUAGAGUGUUUAAAGCAGGCUUAUGCCGUUGAAUAUAUUAGCAUGGAAUAAUAAGAUAGGACUUUGAGUCUAUUUUGUUGGUUUGCGCAUCAAGGUAAUGAUUAAUAGGGUCAGUUGGGGGUAUUCGUAUUCCGUUGUCAGAGGUGAAAUUCUUGGAUUUACGGAAGACGAACGACUGCGAAAGCAUUUACCAAGGAUGCUUUCAUCA